rnacentral:rRNA from 1 species
UACGUAGGGGGCGAGCGUUGUCCGGAUUCAUUGGGCGUAAAGAGCUCGUAGGCGGUUUGGCAAGUCGGGUGUGAAAUCUCCGGGCUCAACUCGGAGAGGCCACUCGAGACUGCUAUGACUAGAGUCCGGUAGGGGACCAUGGAAUUCCUGGUGUAGCGGUGAAAUACGCAGAUAUCAGGAAGAACACCCGUGGCGAAGGCGGUUCUCUGGGACGGUACUGACGCUGAGACGCGAAAGCCAGGGGAGCAAACGGG